GCGAAGCAGAACUGUGUUGUAGAUACGUUGAUGACAUCUUGGUCGUGUGGGAUGGCGAGGAUAGCGUCAAUCGAUUGGAGGGGGAAUUUGCGAUCCCAGCUUGUGGCCUGGAUCUCCAACUUGAUCAAAUCAGUGGGGAUGGGCUGCAUUUUUUGGACCUUGACAUCUCUAUUACGGGCGGUUCCAUCGAGGCUGCGGUGUGUGGAGGGCCCACUGGUGCGACUGUGCUGGUCCCACGCUGGUCCAAUGAUGGAUGGGUGCGCGGGGGGGCCGCAUUGGGGUCGCUGCUGCUGAGAGUGGCGGCACAUUGCACUGCAGAGCGGGCCACCCAAGACGAGCUGAAGCGUGUCAU
rnacentral:lncRNA from 1 species